rnacentral:rRNA from 1 species
AUUUUAUAACAAUGGCUUUAGUGGCGGACUGGUGAGUAACGCGUGAGCAACCUGCCUCACACUGGGGGAUAACAGUUAGAAAUAGCUGCUAAUACCGCAUAAGCGCACGGUAUCGCAUGAUACAGUGUGAAAAACUCCGGUGGUAUAAGAUGGACCCGCGUCUGAUUAGCUGGUUGGUGAGGUAACGGCCCACCAAGGCGACGAUCAGUAGCCGACCUGAGAGGGUGGACGGCCACACUGGGACUGAGACACGGCCCAGACUCC